GCCUGGGUGGUGGAAUUGGCAGACACGCCGGAUUUAGGAUCCAGUGCCGCAAGGCGUAGGGGUUCGACCCCCCCCCCAGGUACCA
rnacentral:tRNA from 1 species